rnacentral:miRNA from 1 species
CAACUAAGUUUGUUCUUGGUAUAAGCUUUCAUGUGCAUGCACCCUUCUUCAGAUACACUGUAUCUGAAGAAGUGUACUGUAUCUGAAGAAGGGAGCAUGCACACAAAAGCUUAUAACAAGAACAAACUUAGUUG